rnacentral:rRNA from 1 species
AGUGAACGCUGGCGGUAGGCCUAACACAUGCAAGUCGAACGGCAGCACAGUAAGAGCUUGCUCUUACGGGUGGCGAGUGGCGGAUGGGUGAGGAAUACAUCGGAAUCUACUUUUUCGUGGGGGAUAACGUAGGGAAACUUACGCUAAUACCGCAUACGACCUACGGGUGAAAGCAGGGGAUCUUCGCACCUUGCGCGAUUGAUUGAGCCGAUGUCGGAUUAGCUAGUUGGCGGGGUAAAGGCCCACCAAGGCGACGAUCCGUAGCUGGUCUGAGAGGAUGAUCAGCCACACUGGAACUGAGACACGGUCCAGACUCCUACGGGAGGCAGCAGUGGGGAAUAUUGGACAAUGGGCGCAAGCCUGAUCCAGCCAUACCGCGUGGGUGAAGAAGGCCUUCGGGUUGUAAAGCCCUUUUAUUAGGAAAGAAAAGCAGCGGGUUAAUACCCCGCUGUUCUGACGGUACCCAAAGAAUAAGCACCGGCUAACUUCGUG